rnacentral:rRNA from 1 species
GAUGAACGCUAGCGGGAGGCCUAACACAUGCAAGCCGAGCGGUAUUGUUUCUUCGGAAAUGAGAGAGCGGCGUACGGGUGCGUAACACGUGUGCAACCUGCCUUUAUCUGGGGGAUAGCCUUUCGAAAGGAAGAUUAAUACUCCAAAAUAUAUUGAACGGCAUCGUUUAAUAUUGAAAGCUCCGGCGGAUAGAGAUGGGCACGCGCAAGAUUAGCUAGUUGGUGAGGUAACGGCUCACCAAGGCGAUGAUCUUUAGGGGGCCUGAGAGGGUGAUCCCCCACACUGGUACUGAGACACGGACCAGACUCCUACGGGAGGCAGCAGUGAGGAAUAUUGGUCAAUGGGUGCAAGCCUGAACCAGCCAUCCCGCGUGAAGGACGACUGCCCUAUGGGUUGUAAACUUCUUUUGUAUAGGGAUAAACCUACCCUCGAGAGGGUAGCUGAAGGUACUAUACGAAUAAGCACCGGCUAACUCCGUG